rnacentral:rRNA from 1 species
GUGGGUAGCGGUGAAAUUCCAAUCGAGCCCGGAGAUAGCUGGUUCUCCCCGACAUAGCUUUAGGGCUCGCCUCAAGGUGAGCGAUACGGACGUAGACCACUGAAUGUCCUAGGGGGUAUUUCACCUGGCAGAGCCUACCACACUACGAAUGCCGUCAUCUUAUACUUGGGAGUCAGACUGUGGGUGAUAAGAUUCAUAGUCGAAAGGGCAACAGCCCAGAUCGUCAGCUAAGGUCCCUAAAUGUAAGUUAAGUGGUAAAGGAUGUGGGAUUGCACAGACAACCAGGAUGUUGGCUUAGAAGCAGCCACUCAUUCAAAGAGUGCGUAAUAGCUCACUGGUCGAGUGAUCCUGCGCCGAAGAUUUCCGGGGCUAAAACUUACUACCGAAGCUACGGCAUCAGUAAUGAUGGGUAGGGGAGCUUCCCAUACGGGUUGAAGCAUGACCGUAAGGACAUGGGGACAGUAUGGGAGUGAGAAUGUUGGCAUGAGUAGCGAGAUGUGGGUGGGAAUCCCACAGGCCGUAAACCCAAGGUUUCCAGGGGAAGGUUCGUCCGCCCUGGGUUAGUCGGGACCUAAGCUGAGGC